CAGUCGCCACGGGAAUACGUAGGUCCCGAGCGUUGUCCGGAUUUAUUGAGCGUAAAGCGAGCGCAGGCGGUUAGAUAAGACAGAUGUGAAAUCCCCGGGCUUAACCUGGGAACUGCAUUUGUGACUGGCGGGCUAGAGUAUGGCAGAGGGGGGUAGAAUUCCACGUGUAGCAGUGAAAUGCGUAGAGAUGUGGAGGAACACCGAUGGCGAAGGCAGCCCCCUGGGCCAAUACUGACGCUCAUGCACGAAAGCGUGGGGAGCAAACAGGAUUAGAUACCCCUGUAGUCCCUGUCUCUUAUAC
rnacentral:rRNA from 1 species